UGAAGAAAAAGUGUGGGAUUUCAAGGGAUUAAGCUAAUAAAGGCUCAGGAUAGUAUAUAGAUAGCUGAUUCAUCGAGGACCACCGUUGGAUUUGCAUCCUCCAAACUAUAGAUUCACAUUCUUUCUUACUUUUGGUCGCUCGUGGGUCCACGUGUCACUAUGAUGAAGGAAUUUGAAAUAAUUGACUUGGGGAAGAUGAGCUAUUUUUUGGGGAUGGAAGUGCAACAAUCUACAAGAUAGAUUUUCUUGCAUCAAGCUAAGUAUGCUAAGGACCUACUGAAAAGGUUUGAUAUGAGCUUGUGUAAGGUGGUAAGCACACCUUUCACUACUGGAGCUAAGUUUAGCAAAGAAGAUGGUUCUCCCAAAGCCAAUGGACAGAUUUACAGAAGCAUUAUUGGAUCUCUCUUAUACCUGUUUGCUACCAAGCCAGACAUAAUGUUUGCAACCUGGUUGUUGUCAAGGUUUAUGCAAGAACCUUCACAAAUACACUUCACAGCUGCCAAACGGAUUCCAAGCUACAAAUCAUGCAUUGUGGCUGAGGAAAAGGUUGCUAGAUUUAGGAUUUGAACAAAGUCAAGGCACUCUGAUAUGUGUUGACAAUUUGUUUGUUGUUUCAAUUGCUAAAAAUCCAGUUCAAUAUCGGAGAACUACACAUAUUAGGGUCAAAUAUCAUGCCCUGAAAGAAGCUGUAAAAGAGAAUGAAGGUGAGUUGAAACACUGCAAGACAGAGAACCAGUUGGCUGACAUUUUUACCAAGAGCUUGGGAAGAGAAAGGUUUGAGCAUCUCAGAUCGUGUCUUGGAGUUCAGCAGAUUAUGAAUCAUGGGGCAGUGUUGAAGUACUGAUUCCCAACCUAGUUAAAUAUGUGGCUCGAACUAGCUGAAAAUUAAAGGUUGAAGAAGAUUCUCAACAAGGGAUCGUUUUUAGUUUGCUGCUGAUUUACUAAACAUUAACGAGUCCUGUCUUUUUUAAACUCUUGUAAUUAAUAUAGUAAAAUAGGAUGUAUGUGUCAUUUAAGUCUUUUGUUGUAGGCUUAACAACCAUGUUUACCGGGUAGUGUACUGGGUGGUUUAGUUACAAUUACCACAACAUAGAAAACAAAGACACGUUGUUUGUGUCUAGAAAAAUACGCUUAGAUUAAGUCUUCUAAGGCUGAAUGAAAGGAUUGAAUGGUUUUAGGUGAUUAUAAAUACUUGCAAAGUAACUGUUAUUGUGAGUGGCUUAUGAUUCUCAGAUUUGAUGU